rnacentral:misc_RNA from 1 species
GGAAUGCGAUAAGUAAUGUGAAUUGCAGAAUUCAGUGAAUCAUCGAAUCUUUGAACGCACCUUGCGCUCCUUGGUAUUCCUUGGAGCAUGCCUGUUUGAGUAUCAUGAAAUCUUCAAAGUAAAGCUUUUGUUAACUCAAUUGGUUUCUACUUUGGUAUUGGAGGUCUUUGCAGCUUCACACCUGCUCCUCUUUGUUCAUUAGCUGGAUCUCAGUGUUAUGCUUGGUUCCACUCGGCGUGAUAAGUUAUCUAUCGCUGAGGACACUGUAAAAGGUGGCCAAGGUAAAUGCAGAUGAACCGCUUCUAAUAGUCCAUUGACUUGGACAAUACUUUUAUGAUCUGAUCUCAAAUCAGGUAGGACUACCCGCUGAACUUAAGC